GAGAUUGUAGUUCAAUUGGUUCAGAGCACCGCCCUGUCAAGGCGGAAGCUGCGGGUUCAAAUCCCGUCAGUCUCG
rnacentral:tRNA from 1 species